GGGUGUUGCUUGCAUCUUCCCAAAGUAAUAAAUGGACAUAAUUCAUAAGUAAAACCAACAAAGGCCAGUGGUGGGAAUCAAAAGCAUUGAUGGAACUGUGCUCAGCCUGGGGGUUUUUAAUUAAUGUGAUUUAGCACCAGUAAAAUCCAAUAGAGAAGAUAAGUGCCAAAUCAUUCAUUUUCAGGGUUGCUUAAUAUUCUAUUUCCUUCUUUCUUGCUGCAAUUCACUUAUGUACUUUUUCACUGAUAGCACUCAGGCUAUUAAUUUCUUAAGGAGAAAGGGUGCGGAACAAUGAACGAAAUGAUCUGUUUAUUCUAGUUGCAUAGGAAGAUCAUGGUGCUUCACUUCUUGCUGGUGCCUUCCUUAAGGCCCAAAGCGUCUAGGCAAAGGGUUCAUGGUGAAUACAGAGAUAAAAGGAUGUCAGAACACUGAUUGGCUAGAAUGUAAAAAAAGAUACACAUUUUGGGGGGAAGUGACCAAAUUUAUCAAUUAUGUGGAGAAUGGACACUGGACAGAGCAAUGUAUUGUUCAGUGAUGUUGCUCUUGGGCCUUCUGAUUUAUUAAUUUAUCAUGUGUAUACAUAGAUAUAUACAUAUCUUAGCAUAUCAAUGCAGGAAGUAGUGAGCAAGUGGAGAAAAUAUAUCAAUAGACUUGUGGAGCAGUGAGCUUUCCGAGGUGUCUGAAUGCAAGAGUUUUGACUAAACUGUAACUCAGGGAAAUGUCAGAAAAAGAAAAUCCCCCUUAUUUCUGCUGUGAGGUAUGCUUCUUGCACAAGAUGAGCACAGUCAAUGACUUUGGCCCAUGCUCAUCCCUUCUUUGAAUUAUUUUAUUAUAAUGGGGCGAGCACAAGAACGAAUAAAGAUGGCCAAUUUUGCAAAAAUAGAAAAAGAAUACAAAGGAAAGAAGCAUUAUUACUCGUUGUUCCUUUCCAACCCUCAUAAUCCACAUAGAUGUGGUCUUCCUGGCCAUGGCCCUGAAGGACAUGUCCUGUGCUGUGAACCACGGUAUUGCUGUUUGGAUUGUGUUGAUAGCUGGCCACUGGUUUUAUUUAGACAAGAAAUAAAUUAUAUGUAUAAUAAUGAUUGUUUGAAUAAUUGUAUAAUUGAAAAAAGGCUAAGCAUGGACGAUUUCUGUGCCUGUGAUAAUCAGCUUUACUGAUCUAAUUCUGUCCAACAAAGGCCAUCCUCUUAAACAGGACCUGUCCAUUGUGUCUGUGAUCACAGCUAAUGUUUUGCUCCAGGGUCUCAACUUUCAUUUUGAUGCACCCUUAAAGUUGAGUAAAGGAAUGGGCUCACAUCUCAGACGAUUACUUAAAGGAUGUAGACCCGGGUCCAGUUAGGAGCAAGUUUUAUAAAACAAAAAUUUGAAUUGAAAAUUUUCAUUUUAUUCUUGUUGUGGAGUGGGUGAGCACACACCGUUGUGCGUGCCUGGAGGUCUGAGGACAGCUGUUUGGAAGUUGACGCUCUCCUUUUUAUGGUAGUAGAUCUCAGGCCCGUGGCUCUCUCAGCAAGUACUUCUACCCACUAGUCAUCUUGCCAGUGCAAAGAUCUGAUUGAUUUAGACUUAUUAGUGAUUGAUAAAAGCCCUGCAUCUUUAAGUGACCCAUGUUGGAUUAAAUCAUAUUAACUGCAAAUUUAAAUUCAUUUCUGGGCCUGGGCCUACACCACAUCUUUUUACUUUAUUUAUAUGUUGGUCCUUUAUGCCUUUGACACAAGUUAGCGAUAAACCACCUACGCCUAGGCUAUUGAAUGCAGAAGUACAAAAGUCCUUGAGUCCUUUCAGCACACAGGUGGAAGCCAGCGUCUCCACCUCCACAUCGGCUGUGGAGGAUGGAAGGUGUUUCUCCUCUGUGACACAUACACUCUACAAAGAAUGGAGCCCACAGACUUAAAAUCUUUUAAUGGGCUGACUCAUGAGGGAUUGGGCGACUAAUCCAAACUUGGUGACUCUUACAUUCCCGUUGUGAUGGGCUCCAAAAUAACUCUACUUCUUACACACUGACUCAUGUCCUCUUCAAUUUUUAAUACAACAGAAACUAAACUUCACCUCCCUGCUCGAGAGAAACAAAUGCAGUUAUUAAGACUGUGUGCUGCUGCCCACGGACACCUUAACCUCAUUUAUCUUUUUCAAGGGACCUGAUUGUGCGUUGCCGAGGGUCUACCCGGAAACAGGGCUCCGAGAGGCCCCAUGCUUCACGCAUUAGUUGGCUGGCUCGUCAUCUUUAUUCUGUCAGUAGCUUGUUCACUCCUUAAUUACAUCAAGUGGAUAGAUGCUUGCCUAUGAAUAAAAUAAAAGAAUGCAUAUAGGAGCAGCAGAGGGAAUCGCCCAGAGUUUGUAGUUAAUAAGAUUCAGCAUUCCUAACUCCGCUCAUCAUGGACGGCUUUUGUUUGUUCACAGAAUUUUUUAGUAUUAAGAUUUGUUUUGCAGCCUUAGUAGUUUGCACACUCAGCCAAUGAUGAAUGCCUGGACCAAGAACUCACUGAGGUGGGAGUGAGCAGAGUUAGGCAGCGCGAAUGUCCUUGCUGUAACCGAAUGGUCACAGACAGCUGAGUUACUCAGCUUUUCUAAGAAGCAAAACCUUAGCAGUUAGCUCCACGUCUAAAAAAACUAAGAGAAUAAUGAGCCCUGAUUUAAUUAUUUAAUAUGGAAUCAAUGUCCUGAGUAAGGAGCAUAGAUGAGAAUAAAGAACGAGCACAGCUGGUUUGGAUUCAUGGCUGCCUUCUGGAGAAGAUCUUGCCUGUUUAGCCCUGGAAAAGGAGGGAAGACACAGAUUGCUCAUCCCUAGAAGCAAUGGCUUCGGUCUACUUUAAACACUGGACCCCGCUCACAAACUCUAUACUUUUCCUCGGUAUUUACUUGAAGACCCCAAACCCUGUGUCCAUGGUUUUCCUAGCCUCAAGUUUAAAGAUCAAGGGAACUGAUAAUGGAUUCCGCCCCCAAGCGGAUUCUCACUCUCCUUUGCUCAUGAGCCUCAUAAUGAGCACGUUCAGACUGUAAUGCAGACACAGUAAUGAAUACCCUGCAAGCUGAUUUUAUACAGUGUCACUUGAAACUGAACCUCGUGAUCCAGCCUUUGUGUUCGCAGGAAAGACACCGUAAUGGCUGCCCUAAGCUGAUGUCUAAAUUCUUCCUUGGUUGUGAGAUUCCUGCUCUGGUCCUUGUAGUCCUAAGAUAGACACAGUUGCAUGUAGUCAGUGUUCAUGCCUUGAGUUUGGUCACUUUUAAAGACUACGCACACUAUUGUUGAAAUACUACUCGUCCUCGAAGACCGACUAUGUUCAAAUGAAUGGAGCCACCAGGCUGAUCCUUGGUCAUGAGCAAUAUAGACACAGUGAUGGAUUUCCCCCCAAAGAUGACUUACACCUUCUCCUUUUGUGGUGAUCUCCAUGGUCAGCUCUUUGGGUUCAUAAUAUAGACACAGUAACAGAUAUCCCAAAGCUGAUUUUAGACCUUCUUCCUUGGUCAUCAGCUUCUUGAACUACUGUUUGUGUUCAUAGCAUAGCUACAGUGAUGGAUUUCCACCCAAAGAUGAUUUACACCUUCUCCUUUGAUUAUGAUCUUCAUGGUCAGCUCUUUGGGUUCGUAAUAUAGACACAGUUUAAUCGCUCAACAAACACGCGUAAAUUAAUCAAGAAAAGGAGGGCUGAUGCUGGAUCUGUGAUGACCACUGGUGCCGUAUGAGUCGGGGAUCAUGACUACAGAAUGGAUAUCAUUAAGCUGAUUUUACGUUCUCCCUCGGUCAUGAAUUUUUUGAUUCGUAAUAUUGUCACAGUAAAUGAAGACCCUCAAGCUGAUUUCCACAUUCUUCCUUGGUUAUGAGGCUCGUGACCUGCUCUCUGUUCGUAUGAUAGACGAUGUAGUAGACGCCUUCAUCACUGCUCACCGGGGUCAUGCAUCAUAGGGACCAACCAUAGAUGCUUUCUGACUGAUGUUCCCAUUCUGGUCACCGAGUCCACAGUUACCCUACAUGUCAGGAAGACAGAGACCAAUAAAGGCCAGCUUCAGAGCAAUGGGUGAAUCCUGCCUGGUCCUCACCUCCAAGGUUGCCAGUGUUGUUAGGGUCACAGCUACAAUCGGAUCAGGGAACCCCAUGGAAGAGGAGGUGCAAAGAUUGUAAGAACCAAUGAGAAUGAAGGACACCAAGGAAACAAGGCCUUCUAGAUACAGCAGGACCGAUGCAGAUGUGAACUCAUAGAGACGGUGGCAGCAUGCAUGGGACCUGCCAGAUGGGGUCCCAGCGCUGAGAGGGAAAGGACAUAAGCCCCCAUCCCUAACUCAGAAGCUAUCUCCGAUCGAUAGAAUUCUCUCAGGAAAAACUCUUUUUCUCCAAUGGAAUCUCACUGGAUGCAUAGACUACACCUAAGAGCAGGCUCCAUGCUCAGAUGGCCAACACAAAAUGAACUCAAUGGCAUUUUUGGAAGAUCUUGUGUCAUGUAAUGAUUUGUCUGGGUAUUUUUUCUUACCCUAUAGACAUUUUACGUAUAUCUUGUGGUUUCUGAUUUUAGUUUUUAUGAGUUUUCUCUGUUUGUGAAUGUUUGGUCUCAGCACCUGUAUUUGUUUCUGGUGAUUUUAUGUAGGCUCUUUUUUUUUGCCUAUUCUGUUAGGUUUAUCUUAUUUUUCCUCCUCCUUAGUUUAGAUGCCUAUUUUCAUUGUAAUGAGAGAAUGAAAUAAUUAGUGUGAAUUUGGGUGGGUGUGUAAAUGGGGAGAAUAUGGGAGGUGUUGGGGAUGGGAAACCAUAAUACAAAUGUAUUGUAUGAAACAAGUAUGUUUUCAAUAAAAAGCAUUUCCUCUAUCA